rnacentral:misc_RNA from 1 species
CCACCCGACAAUGUGAGUCAAGUCUUUGGUCAAGCAUGUGUUAUUCGAACCCGGAUCGUCACGGAUCUCUAAUUAUCCGGGUGUGUGACAACAGUUUCGUGAGGUGGACAAAUCAUCUUAUCAAGAUUACUGCUCGACAAGGCAGCGGCAGUAUAUCCACAUUAGUGUACGCGUGCUCCAGAUGAAUCACAGAUAAACCUGUUUGUACCCUGUGUGGCUCGACCAGGAAAUUCAAUACUGAAAUAGACAAAGACUGUCUAGUCACUGCUUCCUGAACUGUGAUCCGGGGAUACUAAGGUGAAGAACAAAUCGGGAUAUUAUGAUCUACUUGUACAACUGGAUGAUCUGAUGCUGUGUCAAUUAUGGGCAAGAGGCUGGAGAUUCAUUUGAUGCUUCUAGCUGCGCUGACUGUCAGUGUGUUUAGCCAGACAAUCCGACUCGUGUCCCCACUUGACAACGGUGUUGGGAGACUUGAGGUGUACUAUAACGGCACGUGGGGCACCGUGUGUGACGAUGACUUUGGUGCCGAUGAAGCUAAAGUGGCCUGCCGACAACUAGGACGAUAUCAAAGCGGACAUACACCAAGGGCGAUUCAAACUUUCGGUUUUGGAGGAGGGCAGAUUUGGUUGGAUGACGUGAGUUGCUCUGGUUCCGAAUCAUCUUUGGCCAGCUGUUCACACAGGUCAUGGGGCGUCAACAAUUGUGGCCACAGUGAAGAUGUUGGCAUCAUAUGUGAUCCAAGUGACAUAACGAUGAGGCUGACACCAAACUACAAAAGGGGACUCCUGCAGGUAUUGCACUCCAGUAUCUGGGGAACAGUGUGUGAUCAUGACUUUGGGCAAGUCGAGGCUUCCGUGGUUUGCCGGGCUCUCGGGUACCAAGGAGGUAAGGACAUCGAUGAAGCCAGUCCCAUUAAAAUGUGGCUGGAUGAUGUGGACUGCACGCUGCUGAACACAGAUCUAAAGGACUGCAAGCACAGUCCAUGGGGGGUGGAUAACUGUAACGACAGUGAAGCUGUUGGUGUCGAGUGUUUUUCAUUUCCUGAAGAGGCUACAGCGGCAAGACUGGUCUCCUCCACCACCAACAUGCCAGGUGAUGGAGUUCUGGAGCUGUACUAUAAGGGACAGUGGGGAAGAGUCUACUACUCUGGGUUUGGAGUUGAAGAAGCAACAGUUGCCUGCAGAAUGUUGGGAUACAACACCAUUACAGCCAAAGCUAGCUCAUCUUCAAACACUGGCAGCGAAUCACGACGUGUAAUCGUAGAAAAGUUCCAUUGUCUUGGCACUGAACUCUCACUGAACGAUUGUCUUCAUUACCCUUGGGGUAGUGUUACCUCGUCAUCAACAGUUGUCCGAAUACAGUGUCCUAACGCUAAUCUUCAAAUACGCUUGAACUCGACAACUCGUGGACUGGGGCGGGUAGAAGUACUACACAACAAUGUCUGGGGAACAGUCUGUAGAGGGUCGUCGUUUUCCUCAGAGGAGGCACAAGUUGUGUGCAAAAUGGCAAAUCUUCCCUGGACAACAGCGUCAGUGACAACGUCUUAUGCUGCAGGGGAAGGACUUAUUUGGCUGAGUAACGUCGACUGUACGGGGACAGAGACCUCCCUAGACGAGUGUUCCCACUCUGGUUGGGGAACUGCACCAGGAUGUUCCCACAGUAGUGAUGUUGGAGUGGUAUGUCGUGGAGCUAGUCGGAGUGUCCACCUGGAGCCACCUGGUAGUGUCCUCAACGUCUUUCUUGGUCAACCAAUCAGUGUCAAGUGUGUGGUCGAUAACUCCAGCACUCCCGUCACGUCGUUCAGGUGGACACACAGUGGACGUUCCUACAGCGGACAAACGUUCACUACAACAAUAACAUCCAAGUCUGACUCGGGCACAUUGACAUGUAAUGCCCAGAACAUGAUGGCCUCCACACAAAUCAACGUGUGGUACCCGCCAGAGGUACAUCUGGAGCCGGGAAAUGACACCAUUGAUGUUGGUGUCGGUGACAACCUCCAUGUACAGUGUGUAGCGGAUGACGCCAACCCUACAACCUACACAUUCAGAUGGUCCCACAAUGGAAAAACAAGUACUGAGGAAACUAUCCUCAUUCAGAACGUGACCAAAGCUGACAGUGGACGAUUGUCCUGCACAGUGGACAAUGGACACAUGAUGACACCUGGACGGGCAGAUGCAACUAUAAAUGUAAAAUAUCCACCAGAGAUCCACCUGUCAACAAGACAAGAUGUCAUCAGUGUCAUGGUUGGGGAUGUCGUUGACGUUGAAUGUGUCGUUGACGAUGCAAACCCUGCUGUCAGCUCCUACAUGUGGCGUCACAACGGCGAUAUCAGUUACGGACAGACGUUUCUGAAACAUGCGUCAUCUUCUGAUUCGGGCAACAUAUCGUGCUUUGCCACUAAUGAACAAGGGACAUCUUCUGUUCAGACAAGCAUCGAAGUCUUGCAAGCUUCCUCUUUGAUCGGGAACAACGACAUUACAAGCACAAAUAAAGUGAUUGUCAUAGCAACAGGAUCUGUGGGCAUAGUUAUCAUCAUCAUCCUCAUCAUCAUCAUUAUCUACCAGAGGAGAAGAAUGCAGACUGCAACACAUGAUAAUAAACCAGAAGAGAACCCACAGAGAUGCCGAUCCUGCUCGUGCCUUUGACAACCAUGGAUAUGACCCUGAAGAACGCAUACGGCAAGCAACAGAAAAGAAACAAAGCAAAGUAAAAUCACCAAAAAGACGAAAGCGCAAUGACGAGCCCGUCUACCAAAACGCCAUCGCCAGGAAAGAAUUAUUCUCGUAACCAUGGAAACCCAUAUCAUCACGUGACCUGG